UCCAAAUUUUUAAGGAGCAUUACGAAUCGUAGAUAUAUGAGAUACAUACUUGCAAAAUAUAGUUUAUUAUCAGUUAGUUAUGACUUAUAAGCAAUUGAAAAUACUAUCCUAGGAUUUAAUUUAAAUGCCACAAAAAUAGAUAAACGCAGUGAUUAAUAUUUUUAUGGACCCACAUGCCCAAACAGGACAGGUUCAUCUGACAAAAAUUAUGCACUUGCAACUUGCAUGGUAGGUAAAGAUCCCUGCACCUAUUUACUUUUCUCUUGUUCAUAUCACAGCCACUCGUAUUUUACUUGUUUUUUUUUUCAAUCCAGGAAUCGAACAGCAGCGGAAUCGAAUUUCAACCACAUCCACAGAUAGUCAUGCGUACUUGAUCCCCAUCAAUUUAAACGAUUUGGUAUGUUUAAUGGGAAACAAGGCAUUUCCUUUUUCAUCUUUAUAAUCUUCGUAGAACACCUCGUUGUAUACUUUGAAGCCCACUCUUUCGGCUAGAACUUGAGACUGGAUUCGACUAUACAUAUUCAUACAUCCUUUCACGUCGUAAGCUUUGGCUAGUUUUUCCAAACACAGUAAAAGAUUGUAGCCUAUAUCCAUCCCUCUGUAAUCUGGUUUUACACAUAGACCGAAUCCUCGCAAAAGUCUAUCGGUUCCAAGAAUUUCGUAAGGGUCGGCGGCGUUCAUCAAAUCGUUAGCGAUCCGUUUCACUUUUCGGAUUUUUUCCCCAGGAUCCUGUAUUGUUUUGGGAAUAACAGAGAUUACUUUAUGAAGAAUUUAUAUCAGGAGCUGCCACAUCUUCGUCUAAAACUGCCAAGAUACUCGUCCUAGUUUCUAUUGCUGUUUUCAAAGCGUGCAAGUAACGAAUAGUGUCAUUCAUAUCGUCCAAGAAUUUCACCGAUCUGAAACACAAAAUUUUCAU